UGAAAUUUGGACAAGGCCUUCGGCAGGAUCGCUGGAUUGAGCCAGAUGAACAUCCUUUUUCCAUCCAGAAACUACCUGCAGCAAUUCCUGUGGACCAACAGAGCAUGGUGUUCACUAAUCCACCAGGGAGAAGGAAGAAGGAGAAGGAAGCCGAAGGGUUCCAAGGAACAAGUCCAGGUCUCAGGGGGGAACCAGGGGCCCUGGCAUGCAAAUUUUAAGUUGCUGGGUACCCUUCAGGUGCGUUGAGAUUAAAGUGGAGUCGGCCUCGUGUCCAGCAGAAACUGCCCUAAUCCCUUGAUCACCACCAUGCCAUGUAGGAUCACUUCCUCCAUCUGGGACUGAAGGAACUGCAGGAUGUGAGAGCGCAAAACAAGGCACCAGCAAAUACUAUCACUGCAGCUUCUGAGCUUUUCUUUUUUCUUUUUUUUUCGGACUGGGGGCAACAGAAUCCUGGGAGGCUGCCAAGACAGGCUCCCACACCACAAAGGUAAACGGAUACACACCACCACGACAUAUGGUACCAAACAAAGAACAAGGUGCAAUCAAGUGAUGAACAAUUGCUGGGUUUUUUUUGCACAGCUGUUUUAUAUGUACGCUUUUGGGCAUCGCUGGGCUAGCCAGAGUGUCUUAAAGAAAUAUCCAGGAGCCAUAACCAAGGGGUGGGGGAUCAUUAAAUAUGGACAGAUAAUGUCAAUAUGCUGGAGAACACGACGGUCUUCCUAGGAGUGGGCAUUGAAGCAAAUUCAUCACAAGGUUGUGAAACAAACCCAGGAACUCUACAGGCCUCAGUGAGCAAGUUAAAUGUUAACAUUUACGGCAUCACAAUUAGAAAAAAGACUGAAGAAGCACGGCUGCUUGGAAGGGUUGCAAGAAAAAUCCUCUUCUCUCUAAAAGAACAUAGCUAAAUGGCUUAGGUUUGCAAAGCUGCAGGUGAACAAAGCACAAGACUUCUGGCUGAUAAAGUCACACAGGAAACGACCACUGCAGGCUGCUGCUGCUGAUGGAUGUUCUACAAACUGCAGAAUAAGGUGGUGGACUCAGUUUUUCAGACUGAAGCGGUUCUUAUACACAUAACUGUAGAUACAGAUUUAUUUCUAAUCAUGGAGCUGACUGAAUAUAUUGCAUAUUGUGAAUAACCUCUCUAUUAUGUUUUUAAACAGUUUGGCUGAGAUGGAAAAACAACUUUGUGAGGCAAAUAUGGUGAUAAAACGUCAAGAGGAGCAACUGAAAUCAGUCAAAGAGAGUUUGUGUGAGAUGGAAGCAUUUUACAACGUGAGACUCAAAGAAGCAGGUUUGGUUGAGAUGAAAGACUUUUACGAAGACAAACUCCAACAAGAAAGAUCUGCACAUAAAGAAACUGAAGAAGAGUAUAAAUCAUUCAAAGACAGAGUGGCAGGAGAGAUUGAUCUUGCACUAAAGACGGGGAAAUCUGAAAACAUGAACAACCCAGUGAAUGAAACCAGACUGAAAGAGAUGUAUGAAGAGCUGAGGAUGGACUGGGCUAAAAUCAAGCCUUAUCUGCAGGAAAAUCAGAACAACCCAGAGGAAAUCAAAGCUUUGAUUCAGCACAGAUUUCAAUGUGGAGCAGGGGAAAUAAAGCAGAAGAAGGAACAGAUACAGUCAGCAUUUACCCUAAAUGAGGACACUCAAGCGUCUCAGAAGGUUCAUGAAUACACAAAGUUAACCAUUCAGAACCUUCAGCUUGCUGUUUACUAUGGUUUCAAAGACACUGCUGGUCAGGGGUUCCACGGACAGGAAGGUCAAACUCAUGAUGAUAGCAAGAAUAAGCUCCUCAUGAAGUGCUUCUGGCUGAGCAGCUUAUUGGGGCUGAACGAUCCCCCUCUUCAGCCUGACUGGAAAAAUCAUCAUCCAGGGCAAGAUGCUUGGAACUUUUUCCCACAAGAGAUCACAGCUGAUUCUGCCAUUGUACUCUGCCAGGACAACUCUGAAAAUGUCCUUAAUGUCAUUGGACAUACCAGGACCCAGACUUGAACCAGACUGAAGAUCUCUAGAAAGUACAACAUGUCUUCUAUCACAUCUUCCUUCUCUCAUCCCAACCAGUCGCAGAUGGCCACCCCUCUCUGAGCCUGAUUCUGCCGGAGGUUUCUUCCUGUUAAAGGAGAGUUUUUUUCCCCCUUUCCACUGUCACCAAAGUCAUUACUCAUAUGGGGUCAUAUGAUUGUUGGAUUUUUCUCUGUAUGUAUUAUUGCAAGGUCUACCUUACAAUAUAAAGCACCUUUGAGCAACUGUUGUUGUGAUUUAGUGCUGUAUAAAUAAAAGUGAGUUGAACAUAAA
ensembl:lncRNA